GAUUAUUGUAGAUGAUGGAAUCCAACGUAGUGUGCUGAAACCUCCAAGGAAACUUGAAGACGACGAACGAAAUAAACUAAUAGAGUCGUACCUCUUGAGAUGACGAGCGAGCUUAUGGUGAAUGUGACGGCAGAUCCGCAAUAUAUGCGCGAGAAGAAUUAACCACCAAAAUAUCAAACGGCACGUACUUAAUCUUCUCUGACAACCAAUUCUCUACAAAUCCUUCCUUAGAAGCUCAAUAUAAUUGGAAUUAAAGACUUGGUGAAAUCACAUGUACUUCAUACAAGAUGUUUACAGGAAAAGUGAAAGUUGAUAAGAGUAUACGGGAAAAGGAAAUUGUUAUCAGCUACAGGAAAAGAAGAGAAAAUGAAAUAAAGUAUUUCGAAGACUUAAUAGGCCUUAAGGGUAAGAAAAUAAACCGUUACAAUAUGUUUCGGUGUAUCAAAAGCUUAUAAGGCGUACUUAAU